rnacentral:tRNA from 1 species
GCGGGUAUCGUAUAAUGGUAUUACAUGUGGUUGCCAAUCACAUGACGGGGGUUCGAUUCCCCCUACCCGCUCCG